UAAUAUAUAUAUAAAAUUUAUAUGUGAAAUAUAUAAUUAUAAAACAGAAUUGCAUAAUAGUAUUUAUAAAAAACCAUUAAGUGGGAUAAAAAGGGAAGUAGUUGCUAAUGAAUUACAAAAAGAUUUAGCCAUAAACUGGCGUUUGAAAAAAGCAAAUGAAACCAUGGAAUAUGGUGAAUUGGAACCUAGAACUUUAUAUUCCUUGGAUGUCCUACGUAAAUGCAAACAAUCCAUUUCUAAUAAAUAUAACAUUAAAUCGGAUAGCGUAAUCAAUCAGUUAUUACAUCCAUACUUCAAAUAGAUGCCACAGGGAAUCGAAUUGAAUAACUGAGAACCAACUUUCUCAGGGAUAUUACACAAUAUCUGUACAUCGAAUUGAAUAACUGAGAACCAACUUUUCAGGGAUAUUAGAUAACGUUAUGAUCUUUUCCCUGAUCUCGGGCCUUCCCGUACCUACAACAACAACCUGAUGAUUGGAUGAAAUCUCAAUCAAUUCCACAUAUCUCCUAUGAAAUAUCCAAGGGUACUCAAGCCGAAAAAUUUAAACAACAUUAAUUAGAACACAACGCCCCCACGCUUAUAAUAAAUAUAUAUCGUGAUUAUAACAAAUUAUACUGUUGUUGCGUUUUCUGAUUAAUAUAUUACUAUUCGUACAUAAUAUUAUUCACCAUUCCUUCCCUAUUAUAUUACAUAAAAAAUCUUCGACUUAGAUUAAAA